AGCUCCAAUAGCGUAUAUUAAAGUUGUUGCAGUUAAAAAGCUCGUAGUUGGAUUUCUGAUUUGAGAAUUUCCCAGUAUACUCUACUCGGGUUAGUCCAGAUCAAGUUUUUGUGAGGAAAUUUUUUCGUCAUUAGGUUGAUGAUUAAAUGGACUUGCAUCUUUUACUGUGAAAAAAUUAGAGUGUUUAAAGCAGGCGUUCGCUCGUUGAAUACAUUAGCAUGGAAUAAUAAGAUACGACCUUGGUAGUAUUUUGUUGGUUUGUACACCAGGUAAUGAUUAAUAGGGACAGUUGGGGGUAUUCAUAUUUUAGCGUCAGAGGUGAAAUUCUUGGAUCGCUGAAAGAUGAACAUAUGCGAAAGCAUUUACCAAGGAUGUUUUCA
rnacentral:rRNA from 1 species